rnacentral:rRNA from 1 species
GGACGAAAGUCUGAUGGAGCAACGCCGCGUGAGUGAUGAAGGUUUUCGGAUCGUAAAACUCUGUUGUAAGGGAAGAACACGUACGAGAGGUAAUGCUCGUACCUUGACGGUACCUUACGAGAAAGCCACGGCUAACUACGUGCCAGCAGCCGCGGUAAUACGUAGGUGGCAAGCGUUGUCCGGAAUUAUUGGGCGUAAAGCGCGCGCAGGCGGCCUUUUAAGUCUGAUGUGAAAGCCCCCGGCUCAACCGGGGAGGGCCAUUGGAAACUGGAAGGCUUGAGUACAGAAGAGAAGAGUGGAAUUCCACGUGUAGCGGUGAAAUGCGUAGAGAUGUGGAGGAACACCAGUGGCGAAGGCGACUCUUUGGUCUGUAACUGACGCUGAGGCGCGAAAGCGUGGGGAGCAAACAGGAUUAGAUACCCUGGUAGUCCACGCCGUAAACGAUGAGUGCUAGGUGUUGGGGGGUUUCCGCCCCUCAG